CUGUUGGUUAUGUGUGCCCAAGCAUUGAGGCAGUCAAAGUAGGCAAAUCCGCUUUGAUAAUGCUGGGAUGUGAUGGGGAGCGAAAUUUAGUAGCGAAGUAGCUGAUUUCACACUGUCAAGAAAAGUCGCUAUCGAGGUUAAAGGUACCCGUACCGCAAACCGACACAGGUGGGUGAGGAGAGUAUCCUAAGGCCAGCGAGAGAACUGUUGUUAAGGAACUCGGCAAAAUGACCCCGUAACUUAGGGAUAAGGGGUGCC
rnacentral:rRNA from 1 species